AGAAUGAAGAUUUGGAUCUGACAUAAUUAACUAGCCAAGUAACUAGGGAAGGCAGGAGCAGCAGAGCCCCGUCACUUAUUACACAAGUUGAAGUGCAGUGUGGUCUGGGCGAGAGUAGUGGUGAUUGGGUUCCAGGAGGUUUACAGGGAAGAAGUUCCUAUCAUAUUGUUGUGAAGGCACAGAUUCAUACACAGAACCUGAAGGCAUUAAAUUUGUUUGCUGCUGCUGCUGCUGNNNNNNNNNNAUUUUCAGCUAUCUUUGCUCUCAGGAACAUAUUGUCAUUUUGCAGCUCAAUCUCCCUUUUCUGCA
rnacentral:misc_RNA from 1 species